CCUACGUGAGGCAGCAGUGAGGAAUAUUGGUCAAUGGGCGCGAGCCUGAACCAGCCAAGUAGCGUGAAGGAUGACUGCCCUACGGGUUGUAAACUUCUUUUAUAAAGGAAUAACGUGAGGCUCGUGUGCCUUUUUGUAUGUACUUUAUGAAUAAGGCUCGGCUAACUCCGUGCCAGCAGCCGCGGUAAUACGGAGGGUCCGAGCGUUAUCCGGAUUUAUUGGGUUUAAAGGGAGCGUAGAUGGGUUGGUAAGUCAGUUGUGAAAGUUUGCGGCUGAACCGUAAAAUUGCAAUUGAUACUGGCAGUCUUGAGUACAGUUGAGGUAGGCGGAAUUCGUGGUGUAGCGGUGAAAUGCUUAGAUAUCACGAAGAACUCCGAUUGCGAAGGCAGCUUACUAAACUGCCACUGACAUUGAUGCUCGAAAGUGUGGGUAUCAAACAGGAUUAGAUACCCCUGUAGUC
rnacentral:rRNA from 1 species